GCGUGCAAAUUAUAUCGACGAGUCGAACUUGUCCUUGAGCAUAGACAACCUCCAGCAAGCAGCGAAUGCCAUUGCCGAUCAACCUACAUGUGGACACCACGCCCAUCCUGUAAAUACUGACCUGGAAAAUAUGCGCGCCAGGUUCCACCUGCAGAAGCUGUACGAGCGGUGUUGGCUUGGCCACGAACACGCAAAGGCACCCGUGUGACGGUUGUCGCCACCGGCUUAACGGAGGACUUCUCCCGACGUGUUGCGUCAUUUGUGGUUGGACAUCUUUAAGCCGGUCCAAGCAGGAGAGGGGUGAAAGGCAUUGAAGCAGGAGCGGAGGCACCGCGAACGCCGCGUUUGAUUGCAAAUAAAUCCACUUCUGGUGAAGCGCAUCGAAGUACUUUUCGUCAAAAGGUGUUUAUUAAAUAGCCUAUUUUAACUUCGAA